GACGAACGCUGGCGGCGUGCUUAACACAUGCAAGUCGAACGGAAAGGCCCUGCUUUUGUGGGGUGCUCGAGUGGCGAACGGGUGAGUAACACGUGAGUAACCUGCCCUUGACUUUGGGAUAACUUCAGGAAACUGGGGCUAAUACCGGAUAGGAGCUCCUGCUGCAUGGUGGGGGUUGGAAAGUUUCGGCGGUUGGGGAUGGACUCGCGGCUUAUCAGCUUGUUGGUGGGGUAGUGGCUUACCAAGGCUUUGACGGGUAGGCGGCCUGAGAGGGUGACCGGCCACAUUGGGACUGAGAUAGGGGCCAGACGGCUACGGGAGGCAGCGGUGGGGAAUAUUGCACAAUGGGCGGAAGCCUGAUGCAGAAACGCCGCGUGCGGGAUGACGGCCUUCGGGUUGUAAACCGCUUUCGCCUGUGACGAAGCGUGAGUGACGGUAAUGGGUAAAGAAGCACCGGCUAACUACGUG
rnacentral:rRNA from 1 species